rnacentral:rRNA from 1 species
CCAGAGAACUUAGCAGAGAUGCUUUGGUGCCUUCGGGAACUCUGAGACAGGUGCUGCAUGGCUGUCGUCAGCUCGUGUUGUGAAAGUGUUGGGUUAAGUCCCGCAACGAGCGCAACCCUUAUCCUUUGUUGCCAGCGGCUCGGCCGGGAACUCAAAGGAGACUGCCGGUGAUAAACCGGAGGAAGGUGGGGAUGACGUCAAGUCAUCAUGGCCCUUACGGCCAGGGCUACACACGUGCUACAAUGGCGCAUACAAAGAGAAGCGACCUCGCGAGAGCAAGCGGACCUCACAAAGUGCGUCGUAGUCCGGAUUGGAGUCUGCAACUCGACUCCAUGAAGUCGGAAUCGCUAGUAAUCGUAGAUCAGAAUGCUACGGUGAAUACGUUCCCGGGCCUUGUACACACCGCCCGUCACACCAUGGGAGUGGGUUGCAAAAGAAGUAGGUAGCUUAACCUUCGGGAGGGCGCUUACCACUUUGUGAUUCAUGACUGGGGUGAAGUCGUAACAAGGUAGGCGUAGCGAG